GAAGUGCGAUAAGCAAUGCGAAUUGCAGAAUUCCGCGAAUCAUCAGAUCUUUGAACGCAAAUGGCGCCGGAGGGAUAUCCUUCCGGCAUGUCUGUUUCAGUGUCUGAGAGGUUUCACAUAAAUCUUAAUGUGAUUGAUGAGAAGUAGUUUAUUGGGGUUCAUCCCCCAGCAUACAUUUCAUCUCAUCUCUCAUGAAAGAUGCAUGAGUGGAUCUUUCGGUCCAAUGAAGUGGUCACAUCACUCGCAUGUGAUUUCAUUGGGAAAUCACCGAAUUAUCCGAAUACUCAUGGUACCUAUAUGUGUUAUUGUUUGGACCUUAAAAAUCCAAAUGAUAACAAACCUUCCAUACCCUGCAUCUGAGAUAGGCAAGAUCACCCGCUGAACUUAA
rnacentral:misc_RNA from 1 species